AUGAACGCUGGCGGCGUGCCUAAUCCCUGCAAGUCGAGCGCACAGAUGAGGAGCUUGCUCCUCUGACGUUAGCGGCGGACGGGUGAGUAACACGUGGAUAACCUACCUAUAAGACUGGGAUAACUUCGGGAAACCGGAGCUAAUACCGGAUAAUAUAUUGAACCGCAUGGUUCAAUAGUGAAAGACGGUUUUGCUGUCACUUAUAGAUGGAUCCGCGCCGCAUUAGCUAGUUGGUAAGGUAACGGCUUACCGAGGCAACGAUGCGUAGCCGACCUGAGAGGGUGAUCGGCCACACUGGAACUGAGACACGGUCCAGACUCCUACGGGAGGCAGCAGUAGGGAAUCUUCCGCAAUGGGCGAAAGCCUGACGGAGCAACGCCGCGUGAGUGAUGAAGGUCUUCGGAUCGUAAAACUCUGUUAUUAGGGAAGAACAAAUGUGUAAGUAACUAUGCACGUCUUGACGGUACCUAAUCAGAAAGCCACGGCUAACUACGUG
rnacentral:rRNA from 1 species